rnacentral:lncRNA from 1 species
AUGCCACCGGACCCGAUCUCAACACCUUGAGCCUCCGCAACGUGUCGUGGGCAACAACGGAUACCUGGCUCGCAGAACUGCAGCAGUGGCUAAAGCCUGGACUCAAGAUAUCCCUGCUUCCAGUUGAGAACUCCGAUCCUGUGUCGAGGCUGGACGCUGGCAAAACCCUCUAAUGGACAAUGAAGUACCUAAAAACAAUCUUUGACAAAAGGCAAAUGGUUUGUAUAAGACCAUGCUAGUGGGAAAUUGCACGGAGAUGCUGUACUCACUGUGUUCUUUAGAAAAUACAAGUUUCUUGUUUCUUUUUGCUCCAAA